GGGCCCGUAGCUCAGCGGUAGAGCGGUUGCCUCUUAAGCAAUAGGUCGGAGGUUCGAAUCCUCCCGGGCUCA
rnacentral:tRNA from 1 species